GAACGCUGGCGGCAGGCCUAACACAUGCAAGUCGAGCGGUAACAUUUCUAGCUUGCUAAAAGAUGACGAGCGGCGACGGGUGAGUAACGCGUAGAAAUCUACCUAGUAGUGGGGGAUAGCCCAGAGAAAUUUGGAUUAAUACCGCAUACGCCCUACGGGGGAAAGCGGGGGAUCUUCGGACCUCGUGCUAUUAGAUGAGUCUGCGUCGGAUUAGCUUGUUGGUGAGGUAAUGGCUCACCAAGGCGACGAUCCGUAGCUGGUCUGAGAGGAUGACCAGCCACACUGGAACUGAGACACGGUCCAGACUCCUACGGGAGGCAGCAGUGGGGAAUAUUGCACAAUGGGCGCAAGCCUGAUGCAGCCAUGCCGCGUGUGUGAAGAAGGCCUUAGGGUUGUAAAGCACUUUCAGCAGUGAGGAAAGGGGUGUCGUUAAUAGCGCCAUCCUGUGACGUUAACUGCAGAAGAAGGACCGGCUAACUCCGUG
rnacentral:rRNA from 1 species